CACACGGAAUCGAGAGCUCCAAGUGGGCCA
rnacentral:snRNA from 1 species